rnacentral:tRNA from 1 species
GUCUUCGUAGUGUAGUGGUUAGCAUGUCUGCUUUAUACGCAGAAGGUCCUAGGUUUGCACCCCAGGUGGAGCCA